rnacentral:lncRNA from 1 species
GUAACAUGGUGCAUUGGUGGAGGGAAGAGGACAACUUGCAGUAGCUGGUUUUCUCCCUUCACCAUUUGUGUUCUAAGGUGGGUACUCAGGCUUAGUGGCAAGUGCCUUUACCCCCUGAGCUCCUCUCCAGCCCCUCCCUAUUCAGAACUUUGGAGGUUAAGAGGAAAGGUUCAAGCACUGAACAAUGAUGUUUUUGUGUGGUGCUUUAGGCCAGGUCCUGUAUCAUCUUUGCUUCUCUUCCUGAAAGGUAGCCCUCUUCAUCUGCAAGUGAUAAAUGACCCACAAAGUGCCUUACAGAAACUGAUGGGGAGCACCAAGGCAGGGACCCAUGUUUGGUCCAAUCAGAAUCUCAAUGACCAGGUCCUUGCAGCAUCUGAGAUGUUGAGUCCCAAUGGAGUCUGCAUUAAAGCUCUUCUUUGCCCUCUCUGGAAUUGAGUCUGCAUUAAAGCCAUCCCCUGAAAUGGAGUCUACUUUUUCUCAUCCUACCUCUUCUCUUACACAUGGCAUACUAAUGUGGCAUAUCUUAGUGUGCAUUUUUGGGUAAGUGGCCAUCUUACCCAGAAAUCCAACCCAUCUGUGACAUGC